AUUGAACGCUGGCGGCAGGCUUAACACAUGCAAGUCGAGCGGAGCGAGGGUGCUUGCACCUUAGCUUAGCGGCGGACGGGUGAGUAAUGCUUAGGAAUCUGCCUAUUAGUGGGGGACAACAUUCCGAAAGGAAUGCUAAUACCGCAUACGCCCUACGGGGGAAAGCAGGGGAUCUUCGGACCUUGCGCUAAUAGAUGAGCCUAAGUCGGAUUAGCUAGUUGGUGGGGUAAAGGCCUACCAAGGCGACGAUCUGUAGCGGGUCUGAGAGGAUGAUCCGCCACACUGGGACUGAGCAACGGCCCAGACUCCUACGGGAGGUAGCAGUGGGGAAUAUUGGACAAUGGGCGGAAGCCUGAUCCAGCCAUGCCGCGUGUGUGAAGAAGGCCUUUUGGUUGUAAAGCACUUUAAGCGAGGAGGAGGCUCUUAAGGUUAAUACCCUUGAUGAGUGGACGUUACUCGCAGAAUAAGCACCGGCUAACUCUGUGCCAGCCGCCGCCGUAACAC
rnacentral:rRNA from 1 species